AUUGAACGCUGGCGGAAUGCUUUACACAUGCAAGUCGAACGGCAGCACGGGUGCUUGCACCUGGUGGCGAGUGGCGAACGGGUGAGUAAUACAUCGGAACGUACCCAGUCGUGGGGGAUAACUAACCGAAAGGUUAGCUAAUACCGCAUACGCCCUGAGGGGGAAAGCGGGGGACCGUAAGGCCUCGCGCGAUUGGAGCGGCCGAUGUCUGAUUAGCUAGUUGGUGAGGUAAAGGCUCACCAAGGCGACGAUCAGUAGCUGGUCUGAGAGGAUGAUCAGCCACACUGGAACUGAGACACGGUCCAGACUCCUACGGGAGGCAGCAGUGGGGAAUUUUGGACAAUGGGGGAAACCCUGAUCCAGCCAUUCCGCGUGAGUGAAGAAGGCCUUCGGGUUGUAAAGCUCUUUCGGCAGGGAAGAAACGCUCUGGGUUAAUAACCCGGGGUAAUGAUGGUACCUGAAGAAGAAGCACCGGCUAACUACGUGCCAGCCGCCGCAGUAA
rnacentral:rRNA from 1 species